UUGGUGUGUGGUCGAAUUCAUCACCCUCAUGGUUGCUACGAUUUUUCACAAUAAAAAAUAACAUAGCAAAAUAAACCAAGAUGUCUGUUGAUCCAAUGACCUAUGAGGCCCAGUUCUUUGGGUUCACCCCACAGACAUGCAUGCUCAGGAUCUAUAUUGCAUUUCAAGACUACCUAUUCAAGGUGAUGUAGGCUGUUGAACAGGUUAUUCUGAAGAAGUUGGAUGGCAUCCCAGACUGUGAGAUCAGCCCAGUCCAAGUUCACAAAUGCACAGAAAAGUUCUUAGCUUCAUGAAAGGACGUUUUGAUAACCUUUUUGGUAAAAUGGAGCAGCUGUUUUUGCAGUUGAUUUUGUGGAUUCCCCCAAACAUCUUGCUUCCUGAAGAUAAAUGUAAGGAGAUACAUCCUUAUAAUGAGGAAGAAUUUCAACAUCUCCAGAAAGAAAUUGACCAGUUACAGGAGAAGUAUAAGACUGAAUUAUGUACUAAGCAGGCCCUUCUUGCAGAAUUAGAAGAGCAAAAAAUUGUUCAGGCCAAACUCAAACAGACAUUGGCUUUGUUCGAUGAGCUUCAAAAUGUUGGCAGAGAUCAUGGUACUAGUGACUUUAGGGACAGUUUGGUGUCCCUGGUUCAGAACUCCAGAAAACUACACAACAUUACAGACAAUGUGGAAAAGGAAAGCAAAAGACUGAAAACAUCAUAAUUUUUAAAUAAU